rnacentral:tRNA from 1 species
GCCAAUGUGGUGUCGUGGUUUGGGCAUUGGACUAUGAUUCUGGAGACCAGGGUUCGAAUCCCUGGUCGGGUG